rnacentral:rRNA from 1 species
UCCAGGCAAAUCCGGAUAAUCAAGGCUGAGGUGUGAUGACGAGGCACUACGGUGCUGAAGUAACAAAUGCCCUGCUUCCAGGAAAAGCCUCUAAGCAUCAGGUAACAUCAAAUCGUACCCCAAACCGACACAGGUGGUCAGGUAGAGAAUACCAAGGCGCUUGAGAGAACUCGGGUGAAGGAACUAGGCAAAAUGGUGCCGUAACUUCGGGAGAAGGCACGCUGGUGUGUAGGUGAAGUCCCUGCGGAUGGAGCUGAGACCAGUCGAAGAUACCAGCUGGCUGCAACUGUUUAUUAAAAACACAGCACUGUGCAAACACGAAAGUGGACGUAUACGGUGUGACGCCUGCCCGGUGCCGGAAGGUUAAUUGAUGGGGUUAUCCGUAAGGAGAAGCUCUUGAUCGAAGCCCCGGUAAACGGCGGCCGUAACUAUAACGGUCCUAAGGUAGCGAAAUUCCUUGUCGGGUAAGUUCCGACCUGCACGAAUGGCGUAAUGAUGGCCAGGCUGUCUCCACCCGAGACUCAGUGAAAUUGAACUCGCUGUGAAGAUGCAGUGUACCCGCGGCAAGACGGAAAGACCCCGUGAACCUUUACUAUAGCUUGACACUGAACAUUGAGCCUUGAUGUGUAGGAUAGGUGGGAGGCUUUGAAGCGUGGACGCCAGUCUGCGUGGAGCCAACCUUGAAAUACCACCCUUUAAUGUUUGAUGUUCUAACGUUGGCCCCUUACCGGGGUUGCGGACAGUGUCUGGUGGGUAGUUUGACUGGGGCGGUCUCCUCCCAAAGCGUAACGGAGGAGCACGAAGGUUAGCUAAUCCUGGUCGGACAUCAGGAGGUUAGUGCAAUGGCAUAAGCUAGCUUGACUGCGAGCGUGACGGCGCGAGCAGGUGCGAAAGCAGGUCAUAGUGAUCCGGUGGUUCUGAAUGGAAGGGCCAUCGCUCAACGGAUAAAAGGUACUCCGGGGAUAACAGGCUGAUACCGCCCAAGAGUUCAUAUCGACGGCGGUGUUUGGCACCUCGAUGUCGGCUCAUCACAUCCUGGGGCUGAAGUAGGUCCCAAGGGUAUGGCUGUUCGCCAUUUAAAGUGGUACGCGAGCUGGGUUUAGAACGUCGUGAGACAGUUCGGUCCCUAUCUGCCGUGGGCGCUGGAGAAUUGAGGGGGGCUGCUCCUAGUACGAGAGGACCGGAGUGGACGCAUCACUGGUGUUCGGGUUGUCAUGCCAAUGGCACUGCCCGGUAGCUAAAUGCGGAAGAGAUAAGUGCUGAAAGCAUCUAAGCACGAAACUUGCCCCGAGAUGAGUUCUCCCUGAGACUAUAAGUCUCCUGAAGGAACGUUAAAGACGAUGACGUUGAUAGGCCGGGUGUGUAAGCGCAGCGAUGCGUUGAGCUAACCGGUACUAAUGAACCGUGAGGCUUAACCUU